UAGCACCUUCUCAGAUGAAGUGUGUCAUACCUUCAUGCCACUUUACAGAAACAAGGAAGUGAGAGAUGGACUAAGGCAGAUACUAUUUGAUCCCCAUCAGGAAUGCAGAAUCAGUGUGCCUCCAUCACCCACCCACAUGUUUUGGACGACAUUCAACCACAGCAGGUUACAGGCCUUUUUCACAGCUCGGAGCUGCAAGCUUAACUUCAGAACUGCUUACCUGCUUUGCGUGUGUCAGUGGAAACAGAGGCAGGCUUAACAUCUCUUAUUAGGUCUAGGGCCGUGAGGUAGCGCUGUUCUUCUGUUGAGCUUCCAUAGAUGAGGA
rnacentral:lncRNA from 1 species